rnacentral:rRNA from 1 species
UGGGGAAUAUUGGACAAUGGGCGAAAGCCUGAUCCAGCCAUGCCGCGUGUGUGAAGAAGGUCUUCGGAUUGUAAAGCACUUUAAGUUGGGAGGAAGGGCAGUAAGCGAAUACCUUGCUGUUUUGACGUUACCGACAGAAUAAGCACCGGCUAACUCUGUGCCAGCAGCCGCGGUAAUACAGAGGGUGCAAGCGUUAAUCGGAAUUACUGGGCGUAAAGCGCGCGUAGGUGGUUCGUUAAGUUGAAUGUGAAAGCCCCGGGCUCAACCUGGGAACUGCAGCCAAAACUGGCGAGCUGGAGUAGGGCAGAGGGUUGUGGAAUUUCCUGUGUAGCGGAGAAAUGCGUAGAUAUAGGAAGGAACACCAGUGGCGAAGGCGACCACCUGGGCUCAUACUGACACUGAGGUGCGAAAGCGUGGGGAGCAAACAGG